rnacentral:lncRNA from 1 species
AUGGGUGCAGUCUCAGAGAGGCUGUGCAGAGCUGGCUCAUACUGUGGACCUCAGACUGCUGAGCCUCAAGUUUGUCCUGAAGGUUAUUUUUGUCCUGAGGGAUCCCACUCCUUCAAUACCCCCAAACAGCUCUGUCCUUUUCCACACUACUGCCCAGCCAACAGCUCUGCCAUCAAGUCCUGCGAAGGGGGCUCCAUGCCUGUCAACAGCAGUGGGCUCAGAGGAUCCAAAAGCAGCUGCUGUAGUGUGUGCGAGGGAGGCACUUACCGUCCUGAUCUCUCCCCAGUCCCACAAUGCCUUCCGUGUCCACCAGGAUACUUUUGUCCCCCAGGUAGUGACCACUACAAAAGAAACCCUUGCCCGUUUGGGUCCGUCUGUCCCAUGGGAUCCACUCAACCGAUACCCUGCCCCCCUGGCUCCUUUGGUAACCUCACUCAUGCUGAGAAAUUGGUUGACUGUUACCCAUGUCCCGCUGGCACCUUCAGCCACCUGCCUGCCCAGAGGGCCUGUUUUCCCUGUGGAAGCUCCUCUACCUCACCUGCCGGUUCCUCUUCUUGUACCUGUAUUGGUAAGAACCGUGCCUUCCAGCACUCUGAUGGCUCAUGUGUGUGUAGAACUGGCUUUAUCUUCUACAAUGAACUGGAUUUGAAAAGCUCCACCUCUGACAGUGAAUCGGACUGCCAGCCUGAGUUGAGCAGGCGUUGUGCCACAGGACAGGUACGCCUGGCAGCAUCCAGAGAGUGUGUGCCACCUUCCCUCCACUCCUGUAAUAUCGCCUGCGGACCACAUGGAGGAACUCUGGAUUUGGAGAUGGGAAUCUGCCAUUGUGAGCGAUAUGUGUCGGCUGAGGAACUUUGCAAUACCUCCUGCCUCUCCCGCCUGCCUCAGCUCUCUGCCCGGCUCUCACCAGACGGACACCUGCUGCUCAGCUUGAAAGAAAGAAACAGCAUUGUCUGGGCACGGACUGUAAUGGAUGUUUUAGGACCAGAUAUCCAUGCAAAGAACUUUGGGAAAAUCCAUUUGGUCCAAUUUGACUCUGAAGGAGUAUUUGGUUGGAUUCCCACGCAGACACGGCUCAUCAAUCCGUUUCUAUCAGAACCAACAGAACUCCUGAAUACAAGACCCAGAAAGAGGAGAGACACAGGUGAUGAUGAUGAUGGUGGUGGUGAUGAUGAUGAUGAUGAUGACCCGGCUGUUCUUCCUCGAAUCCCCAACCCCAUUGCUUGUUUAUCCUCCGGUGACAUGCUCAUUUUCCAUCUCACCAUCAACCACACUGACCGCCAUUUGAGUCACUUCCCAGUGUAUCAAAAAGACCACCUGUUUAAUAGUAACCCCAGCUGGGACUUUGGUGCCUUCAGACAUUUGCAGAUGCUCAUGAAACAGACAAACUUUAACUCCACAAGGUUUGCCCACGUCUUUCCAGAAACAGGCAAGUAUGUGUUUGUGGACAGUGCUGUCCCAGAGUGGAGUAUGGUGGUGGUGGUCAGUGAGGAGGGGACAGAGUGCGAUCCCAGGGCAUCAGUGUUUCAGCCAAUGUCCCCGGCACAUUUGGUCAGAUACGGGAUUGUCAAGCAGCACAGACUCAACCUUCUGCCGGACUGGGAAUUGAUAGCUGGUGUGUAUCCCCAGUGUUUCCUUUCAUGUCUACUCGUCAUUUGGUCAUGUUUUACCGUUUAACUUUUGAUGGAUUAGCUCUUGACACUUUGUCAUAACAAGAUGCUGACUGUGUACAGGGGUCCUGAGUCUGCUGCUGGUUGUGG